AGAGUUUGAUUCUGGCUCAGGAUGAACGCUGGCGGCGUGCUUCAUACAUGCAAGUCGAACGAGAAAUUCACUUCGGUGGAUGGAAAGUGGCGGACGGGUGAGUAAAAUGUAGAGAAUCUGCCCUAGAGCGGGGGGACAACAGAGGGAAACUUCUGCUAAUACCCCAUAUGAGCGUAGCUGCGAUGCUAUUCUUGAAAACUCCGGUGCUCUGGGAUGAGUCUGCAUCUGAUUAGCUAGUUGGGGGUGUAAUGGACCACCAAGGCGAUGAUCAGUAGCUGGUUUGAGAGGAUGAUCAGCCACAAUGGGACUGAGACACGGCCCAUACUCCUACGGGAGGCAGCAGUAGGGAAUUUUGCGCAAUGGGGGAAACCCUGAACCGCAGCAACGCCGCGUGACCGAUGACGCCCUUCGGGGUGUAAAGGUCUGUCAGUGGGGACGAACGAUGACGGUACCCACAGAGGAAGCACCGGCUAACUCCGUGCCAGCCGCCGC
rnacentral:rRNA from 1 species